rnacentral:rRNA from 1 species
UACGGAGGGUGCAAGCGUUAUCCGGAUUUACUGGGUUUAAAGGGUGCGUAGGCGGCCUUCUAAGUCGAACGUGAAAUCCCUGGGCUCAACCCAGGAACUGCGUCCGAUACUGGAAGGCUUGAAUCCGGGAGAGGGAUGCGGAAUUCCAGGUGUAGCGGUGAAAUGCGUAGAUAUCUGGAGGAACACCGGUGGCGAAGGCGGCUCUCUGGGACGGUACUGACGCUGAGACGCGAAAGCGUGGGGAGCGAACAGG